AAACAUGGUCCUGAAAUAGAUACUUCAUUUCAAGAUUAAUUACAGAACUCAAAUGGAGCAAAAGGAUCCUGAUGAGGUGUUGGGGCAGGAAAAGGCAAAUCUUAUUCUUGAUGACAGAACUAGUGCGUGGCCAAUGCACAGAGCCAACUUGAUUCCAGCUCGGAAAUAUUUAUUCUUCGAUUCCAGGGAUGCUGAUGAGUCUGCAGGAUCCAAAGUCUAUGUCUUUGGCUGAGAGAAAGAUUGAUGAGAAUAUAGGCA
rnacentral:misc_RNA from 1 species